rnacentral:rRNA from 1 species
UACGGGGGGGGGAAGGGUUGUUCGGAAUUACUGGGCGUAAAGGGCGCGUAGGCGGCCUGGUAAGUCGGAAGUGAAAUCCCCGGGCUCAACCCGGGAACUGCGUCCGAUACUGGCAGGCUUGAAUCCGGGAGAGGGAUGCGGAAUUCCAGGUGUAGCGGUGAAAUGCGUAGAUAUUGGGAAGAACACCGGUGGCGAAGGCGGCUCACUGGCUCGUAACUGACGCUCAUGCACGACAGCGUGGGGAUCAAACAGG